AUUUGAUUGAAUGAAAUUGAAAAAAAUUCCAUACUCUUAUUGCGCAAAUCCUAGAAAGAAUAAUCAUUUCCCUUCUAAAUUAACUCAAUAAAUAAAAGAUUUUAUUAUUAUCGUAACCUUUUAAACAAUGGCAAGCUCAAAUAUUUGUCCUUUUCUUUUGUAUGUGAACUACUAUAUGAUGCCGCAGCAGCAGAUGCUUGGAUCCCUUAAUUAGAUUGCAGAGGGUUAAAAAACUCUAAAGAGCACAAUAGCUAGUACUGGAAGUAUAAUAUCCGUUUUUCCUUGUGAUCCCACAAAUGACAAGCUACAGCCUAUCCAUCGAACUAGUGCCCCAGAUGAUCACAAUUGCUUCUUCUUGCGGAAAAGGGUGCAAACCCUCGCCUUCUCAUAAAUUUUACCAGUUCUACAGAAAUAGCCCUUAUUUGGGGCACAAUGAAUGUCCUCCGAGCAUAUACACAAUCCUUCCAAUGCACACCCCUCCCUUACUAUGGUCACACUGCCUUUAAGCCCAAGCACUUGAUCUGUCCACUCAUUGGAAAGGAGCCCAAAUGGAUCAUACAUCUGCUUAACCCUCAAAAAUUCCCCAGCAUUUUUGUAUUUAUUGAUAGCUCCAUCAAAUGCUAGGUUCCGAUUCUUUCCCCAAUGUGGCAAUGCUCCGUAUUUAAACAGUGCCAGUUGCUCUAUUUCCUCGAGUAUAUCUUCGUAGAGCCUAGGAGUCCCAGGGUCUUUGCUUCGAAAAUAUGUGAUAUCAAAGUCUAUUGCAUCUUCUUGCUUGCCCAAGUAGGCGCUUGACGCCUUAACAUAGCGCAUGAGGAUACCAUUGUAUUGUUCUAGGACACACAACCCUUUAGGCUCCAAAUUAACUAGCUUUUGCACAUCUUGGAUGAAGUUCUUAACGACUGACAAGCUGAUACUGAAAGUGGUUUGGAGAAAAUACUCACCCUUGACUCUUGGGUCCCAUGGACAAGCCGUCAUUAAUGCAUCUUCAGGACUAUCAAGGCAAGUCCCUGAUGAUUGAAGGCGAUUGUGAUAUCCAAUUACAGGAUAUCCUGUGAAAGCAAUAACAUUGUUUUUUAAUCCAUAAGCUGAGGUCAGGAGCGUAGUUGUAGUUAGUCUAGCACUAAUGCACUUGCCUUCAGCAUCAUGCAGAGAUUCUUGAUUUUCCUCUGUGGUUCUAACCAAAGCCAAUCCAACAGAAAGUGUAGAUCGGAAAGGGAUGAAGUCAUAUACACCAUUUCCAGAAGUGUUAGAAGAAACGCGAUUGUCGAUUCGAUAGGCUGCCUUACGUUGACUAGGGUACCAUGUUACGUCUGCAAACUCGUGUUGACGACCAAAGCUUGCUGCUUCAUCACCCAGGUCUGAGUCAUUCUUAACCACGUAAGAUAUAGAUCGCUUAAAAAGAGGCUGAAGUUGCAAAGUAACCUUUGAAAUAACUCCAAGAACUCCCAGAGAGACCUUGGCAGCAUUAAGUUCACUGUUACUCUCGUCGAGCCUCCGGACUUUGGCGAAGCCAUCUUCAGGCCCACUGGGGCUAACAAUCGUGAGUGCCACCACAUAGUCAUGAACCGAACUCCCUUUACCCCACAACGUGCUUCCAUGCGCACCCGUGCCUAAUAGGCCGCCGAUGGUCAAGCCCCACCAGUACGGAGCAUAAGGCAAAGCGAGCCCUGCCUUGGCAGCUUCGUUAAUAAGCUGCCUUUGUGUGACGCCGCUCUCUACACUCAUUCUCAUGGAUUGAAGGUCAAUCUCCAACACACGAUUGAGGUAUUUGGUGCUUAUGAGCAGCCCAUCUAAACCAUCCGGACAAGCCAGCUUAGGAAUGCUAUGGGAGAAGCGAGUGGCCACUUUCAUCUUCCUUUUUGCCUUGGUUGCAUUGGCUACUAGUGAAAUUAGCUCUUCUUCUGUGGUGGGAUACGCCGCGUAUGCCGCUUGGCAUAUGCUUCGAUCAGGGAAAGUCCCAUAGGAAUUAGUAAUAGUGCAGUUAGUGUUUUCUGAAACACAUUUGAUGUGAUCCUUAGGAGGUGUACAACGGACUAUAAAGAGUAAUAGGAAGAGACAAGUUGACCGGAUAACUCGCCGGAAUUUAACCAUCUUGGAAUCUGUGGAUGGGUUGCGAUGUGUUCAAAUUGUAGUUUGUAUUGGUGAGAGCGUGACUUGGUAUUUAUAGCAUGUAGCUUGCGUGAAAGGGGGGUUAAGGGUUUGCACCAGGGAAUUAAGAAUUCCACUGGCGGAUGCUUUGAAGUCAAGGACUUGAAUUACUAGGGUUAAUUUGUUUUUCAGUUUUCUUUCAAAGUUAUCGUCAAGGAGCUACUGUAAUAUGUGGCAGGAUGAAGGAAAACGGG
rnacentral:misc_RNA from 1 species